GAUGAACGCUGGCGGCAUGCUUAACACAUGCCAGUCGAACGGGAAGUGGUGUUUCCAGUGGCGAACGGGUGAGUAACGCGUAAGAACCUGCCCUUGGGAGGGGAACAACAACUGGAAACGGUUGCUAAUACCCCGUAGGCUGAGGAGCAAAAGGAGAAAUCCGCCCAAGGAGGGGCUCGCGUCUGAUUAGCUAGUUGGUGAGGUAAUAGCUUACCAAGGCGAUGAUCAGUAGCUGGUCCGAGAGGAUGAUCAGCCACACUGGGACUGAGACACGGCCCAGACUCCUAAGGGAGGCAGAAGUGGGGAAUUUUCCGCACUGGGAGAAAGCCUGACGGAGCAAUGCCGCGUGGAGGUGGAAGGCCUACGGGUCGUCAACUUCUUUUCUCGGAGAAGAAACAAUGACGGUAUCUUAGGAAUAAGCAUCGGCUAACUCUGUG
rnacentral:rRNA from 1 species